rnacentral:rRNA from 1 species
UCGAGAAUUUUUCUCAAUGGGGGCAACCCUGAAGGAGCGACGCCGCGUGGAGGAUGAAGGUCUUCGGAUUGUAAACUCCUGUCAUUAGGGAACAAGUUGCAGUGGUUAACUGCCAGUGCAUUGAUAGUACCUGAAGAGGAAGGGACGGCUAACUCUGUGCCAGCAGCCGCGGUAAUACAGAGGUCCCAAGCGUUGUUCGGAUUCAUUGGGCGUAAAGGGUGCGUAGGUGGCGGGGAAAAGUCAGGUGUGAAAUCCCGGAGCUUAACUCCGGAACUGCAUUUGAUACUGCCUUGCUCGAGUACUGGAGAGGAGACUGGAAUUUACGGUGUAGCAGUGAAAUGCGUAGAUAUCGUAAGGAAGACCAGUGGCGAAGGCGAGUCUCUGGACAGUUACUGACACUGAGGCACGAAGGCCAGGGGAGCAAACGG